AAGAUCUGAACGCGGAGGAUGUC
rnacentral:piRNA from 1 species